rnacentral:misc_RNA from 1 species
GAUGUAAAAGUCGUAACAAGGUUUCCGUAGGUGAACCUGCGGAAGGAUCAUUACUGAGUGCGGGCUGCCUCCGGGCGCCCAACCUCCCACCCGUGAAUACCUAACACUGUUGCUUCGGCGGGGAACCCCCUCGGGGGCGAGCCGCCGGGGACUACUGAACUUCAUGCCUGAGAGUGAUGCAGUCUGAGUCUGAAUAUAAAAUCAGUCAAAACUUUCAACAAUGGAUCUCUUGGUUCCGGCAUCGAUGAAGAACGCAGCGAACUGCGAUAAGUAAUGUGAAUUGCAGAAUUCAGUGAAUCAUCGAGUCUUUGAACGCACAUUGCGCCCCCUGGCAUUCCGGGGGGCAUGCCUGUCCGAGCGUCAUUGCUGCCCAUCAAGCCCGGCUUGUGUGUUGGGUCGUCGUCCCCCCCGGGGGACGGGCCCGAAAGGCAGCGGCGGCACCGUGUCCGGUCCUCGAGCGUAUGGGGCUUUGUCACCCGCUCGACUAGGGCCGGCCGGGCGCCAGCCGACGUCUCCAACCAUUUUUCUUCAGGUUGACCUCGGAUCAGGUAGGGAUACCCGCUGAACUUAAGCAUAUCAAUAAGCGGAGGAAAAGAAACCAACCGGGAUUGCCUCAGUAACGGCGAGUGAAGCGGCAAGAGCUCAAAUUUGAAAUCUGGCCCCUCCGGGGUCCGAGUUGUAAUUUGCAGAGGAUGCUUCGGGUGCGGCCCCUGUCUAAGUGCCCUGGAACGGGCCGUCAGAGAGGGUGAGAAUCCCGUCUUGGGCAGGGUGCCCGUGCCCGUGUGAAGCUCCUUCGACGAGUCGAGUUGUUUGGGAAUGCAGCUCAAAAUGGGUGGUAAAUUUCAUCUAAAGCUAAAUACCGGCCGGAGACCGAUAGCGCACAAGUAGAGUGAUC